ensembl:snoRNA
CUCACACCCAAACCCAAGAACCGCAGUUUUUCGUAACUGGUGUGCAGCCAGGGAGCCUUUGGGGGACUGUGCCGUGCCUCUCAGAGUGAACGUGGAAGGGCUACACCC